rnacentral:tRNA from 2 species
GGGGGCGUGGCGAAACGGCAACCGCCGAGGACUUAAAAUCCUCUGUCCGCAAGGACUUGCAGGUUCGACUCCUGCCGCCCCCACCA